UAGAUGUGGUAGGUGUGGUAGGUGUGGUAGGUGUGGUAGAUGUGGUAGAUGUGGUAGGUGUGGUAGGUGUGGUAGGUGUGGUAGAUGUGGUAGGUGUGGUAGGUGUGGUAGAUGUGGUAGGUGUGGUAGAUGUGGUAGGUGUGGUAGGUGUGGUAGAUGUGGUAGGUGUGGUAGGUGUGGUAGAUGUGGUAGGUGUGGUAGAUGUGGUAGGUGUGGUAGAUGUGGUAGAUGUGGUAGAUGUGGUAGGUGUGGUAGGUGUGGUAGAUGUGGUAGGUGUGGUAGAUGUGGUAGGUGUGGUAGAUGUGGUAGAUGUGGUAGGUGUGGUAGAUGUGGUAGAUG